AACGUAGGUCACAAGCGUUGUCCGGAAUUACUGGGUGUAAAGGGAGCGCAGGCGGGAAGACAAGUUGGAAGUGAAAUUUAUGGGCUCAACCCAUAAACUGCUUUCAAAACUGUUUUUCUUGAGUAGUGCAGAGGUAGGCGGAAUUCCCGGUGUAGCGGUGGAAUGCGUAGAUAUCGGGAGGAACACCAGUGGCGAAGGCGGCCUACUGGGCACCAACUGACGCUGAGGCUCGAAAGUGUGGGUAGCAAACAGG
rnacentral:rRNA from 1 species